UAUUCUUUUUCCUUGCCUGUCUUAUUCAAAUUGCCAGUUUGACCAAUGUAGAAACACUGACUUAUCCAGUUGUUUCAGUUCUGUGAAGCUUCCCUAUUGCAAAGCUCUUUACAGAAAAGUUUCAAUGUGUUGAAAUAAGCGAUAAACCUUGGAGCCAGUUUCAUGUUUAAAUUCAGAAUAUGGCACUUCCUAGCAGCAGAGCUUUGGGAAAGUGACGUCACAGAGUAUUAGUUUCCUCCUCUGGCAAAUGGACAACAGUACCUAAUUUCUAGAGCAAUUACAAUGAUAGAUUGAGGUAACGCUCAUAACUGUUAGUACAGCACCUGGUGCUUAGUAGAUGCCCAGUGAAUGUAAGCUCAUGGUAUCAUUCCCUCCCUUUGCUGGACCGUGGACAAUGGCAAAGGUGGUGGGGAGCAUUUGAACCAACUCCCCAUAUAUUCCUUGGGUAUAUACUACAGGUGUAACAUUAAACCCAGUCCUCUUAGAAUACGGAGACCCAUCUUAAGGAUGAUUCUUUAGGAAAACUUAAAAGAGUGAGCAGAUUUAAACUGGUAUUUGAAAGAUGAUGAGCUUUGGUUUCAGAGGGCAAAAGGAAGUCAUUCCGCUUAUACAGUGCAUCCUGGGUGGACUCACUGGUUCUCAAUAUCCAUUCAUUCUUUCUUCCUUUUACUAAUGCACCUCCUACUACAUCCCUGUCCCUCAGUUUAGCUCAGAUGUGGCUACCUGCUACUUCUAUGACCUUUUUUUUUUCUUUGCCUCCAGGAACGACCACAUGAAUAAGUUCUGAACAAUAGGAUGUGACAAGAAGCACUGUUGUGGAUCACUUCUCAAAAUGAAUUUACUUGUUCUGUGUGUCUUCUUCCCCUCUCUUGAGGAUUGGCAUGGGAGUAUGAUGGGGAAGAGUCAUCUUUGCUCAUAAAGACAAUGGGGGAUGAUGAAGCAAUAGAAAGAAGAAACUGGGUUCCUGGUGACUUUGUUGAGCACAGCCACCCUUCCCAUCCAGACAGCCCAACAGCUCCACUCCUCCUUCCAGUUAAGCCACUGCUGUUUGAUCUCCAUUAUUACAACUAAACCAGUAUCUUCACUAAUCAUAUCCUGAGGAUGUAGGUGCAGGUGAAAAUGAGCCUAACACAUGUGGGGACAGAAAAGGAAUGGGUCUGAGUGGAAAAAAGGGAGGGUAUUUGAGAGUAAUAGGUAAAGGCAAACAGAGCACAGACUUACUUCUAGAUUCUUGAUGGGAGGAAGGCUAGGGAUUCUGAGAAGAGAGCAAAGCAAAUAAAGCCUUCCUACCCACAUGCCACCAAAAAAGCAUGGAAUAAAAUGAAAGAUAAUCCAUGGAAAAAAGCCAAGAAGACACAUUCCUCUCAUUCCAAUUCAACUCAGCAUCAGCUCAACUCAUAGGAGGAGGGCUCUAAGAACAAGGUCCAACACCAUCCUCACUAAGGGGUGGUUCUGUUUCUGUUAAUUGACCAGCUGCACAGAUGGGAAGUGAGGAUGAACUGAGGCAUCCCAGUCCAUUCUGAAUAGCCCUUUGCAAGCUCUGACUUGCACCGAUCAUAAUCACUUUUCCCUAUUGUUCUAUUUCCACCUUCUAAGGCCACAAAGAGCAAGUAGAAUCCUUGCAUAACUCUUGCUUCAAAUGACAGUCACUCCCAUGUGUGAUGGUGGCUCCCAUGGAGUCUCAUCUUAUAGAGGCAAACAACUCUUUCAUUAAGUCCUCAUAUUUAUACAUUUCUAUUUUUGUCUUUGCAGACAGAAUUCCCACCAAGGCUGUGCAGCCAUGGGCAAACAAGUUUCCUUGCCAUCCCAGCUUCUUUAUCUGAAAAAUGAAGAAGCUUGACUUUUCUAUUUACAAGUCCUCGUGUCAAAUACUUCUGGGAGGCAAGAAUGUAUACGGGGUGUUGGACAAUAGGGAAUGAUGAUAAUCGUGGUGAACUGGAAACUACAUACUUGACCUAAGGACAUUAAUGUUAAAUUUUGAGUUUUGUUUAUUGCCUGCUAGUGUUUGCUUUUUGGUAUUAAAGCUACAUUAGCCAUGUAAGCCACACCUGAAUGCUAGAUAUAGGCAAGUUUAUAAAUUCUGGUCUGAAUGAUCUUAAGGACUUCUCUAGCCCUAAAAUUCCAUUAUUCUUUUAAGGUGUCCCAUUUUACAGAGUGGACUCCAACUAGGCCUAUCUUUUGUGCCAAAGGGAGCAGAUACACCCUUGUGCUGGACAUCCUCCGUUUGCCCUUCCAGAUUGCUUUUCCAUUCUUCUCCACCUUGCUCUGUGCCCUGGAAUCUAAUUGUUAAGGACGCCAUCAAGCUGAGCUCAUUGAAUUCUGAGUUCUAGUUGGAACUGGCCAAUGAGAGUGCUAGCAUGAAACAGGCAGGUGAGAGGAGAGAAAGGUUAGCCCCUCCCUAUUUAUCUGCUGGUUGGCAGUGGCUGGGUUCCUGUAAUAAGGCCACAUCCGCUGUCUGCUGGCCUUACCCUAUGGCUACAUGUCUCAAUGGUUCAGAUAACCAUCCCUUCCUUUCCCUUUCAGGCCAAGGGACAUAACUGGCUGCCCACUGGUCAGCCUCCUGGGGCAGGCACAGAAGGGUGGAGGGAAGACCUCAUUAAAUAAAGACAUCCAGCACACCAAAACAGGCAGAAAGCAGACAUGAUAACGAGAUUGCCACCUAUUUACCUUCUUGUAACCAUAAGAAUGAGGGAAGCUUCAUUCCGACGGAGUUCGACCAAAAUAGAGAAGAAGUUGUAAGGGUACGUGUAACCACUCUAGAUUGGAUACUCCUGCAGCUAAUGAUAUGAUAAUGAGAAAAAUCAUAUGCAACUGAAGUGGAUAUUUCAAUAAAGAGUUGAGCAACAUGUGGUCUAGUUAGGACCAUCUUGGAAAGACUUUGGGAGGUAUUGGUGGAGUAGAUGUGGAGAAGAGUUAGCUUAUUCAGAGAAUUAUACUGAAAUUACUCCCUCAGAAAAACCUUGGAUCUACCAGAGCUUGUUUCUUUGCAAACUUGCUCAUAGGCCAUGUAAAUAAAACUGAAUGUCAUCUGGUGAAUGAUGAAAUGAAGGAAAUAGAAUCAGAGAGGUGGUGAGAUAUUAAAUCACAUAGGUCUGUUGGAAAAUUUUGAAAGGAGGAGCAUGUGAUUUGACUUACAUUUUAAUAGGCUUGUUCAGGAAAAUGUGUGAAGAGAUUGUACAGGGACAUGACUGGAUGUCGAGGACCAGGUAAGAAGCUAAUGCAAUAAUUUAGGCAAAAAGGAUGAUGGUAACAGUGGAGGUGGUGAGAAGUGGCCACAUCCUCAGUAUUUUUGUAAGUAAUACUAUGGAAUCAGCUGAAUAAGUGGAUAUCAGGUGUGAGAAAAGGAGUGAAAAGAAGCCCAAAGGUUUCAGCCUAAGCAAUGGAAGGAUAAAGUUGACAUUUGUUAAGGCAGGGAAGACUGUAAGUGAAGCUGUAUUUUAUCUGGGGUGAAGGGAGAAAUCAGGAGUUUGGUUUUGAACAUAUUGGCUUUGAGAUAUAUAUUAGACAUUCAAAUGGAAAUAUUAAAAAGGUUAUUGGAUAUAUACAGGUCUAGAAUUCAGUGUAGAAGUGUAUGCAGGAGACACCAAUCUGGAUAUUAGCACAUAAACAGUAUUUAAAACUACAAGACUGUAUGGGGUUACCAAAAAAGUGAGAAAAGCAGAAUCCUGGACCACACCGCAGUUCAGAGUUUGGAAAAAUGAGGAAGAGCCAGUAAAGGAAAACUGAGGAUUGGUCAACGAGGUAGAAAGAAAAACCUCUGAUGGAAUUGCAACAUGGGCAGAAACCAGAGGUAGGAAGGCAGGCAACCCUUGCAUAAAAAUAUCCACUCACCAACUGUUCACCAACUGUUCUUCCUCUUGCUGGCAUACCUUAUGCAGCAUCCUCAGAUGCCAGAGCGCGUUUCUGCUGCAGCCUCCACGAUGCCUGGGCUGAUAGCAAUCAGGUCCUGCUAUGCUUCUUUCAGGAAGAGCUGACCCCUGGAAUCUGGGCUAGACUUGCACUUGUUUUGGCCAUUGGAAUAUCAAGCUGACUUUUUGUGGGCUCUGGAGACUAGGACCUAAAAGGAGGAAUGUUGCCCCCUCAUCAUUAUGUAAAGAAGCUGGCGCAACCUGCUGGAGGAGAAUAUGCCACCUGGGGAAGAACUGAGGCACCCAGCCAACAUCCAGCACCCACCACUAGACAUGAAAACACUGGUCGGUUACUAAUGGAGAAGAAGAAAAAGCAGCAAAGACAACGAGUAUACUUGGGAUGCGAUCGCAUGCCUGGAGCAUCUGGUGGGCAGGAUUCACUCGUCCUUUCCUUUUUGAGAUUGCAAUUAAGUAGAUAAUAUGAGAGAGAACUGACAAUUGGGUUGUCCCUACUGAGCUUGGGGCCAGGUGUGUACUUAGGAACCCAAUCCCACCCAGAAGAGACUCAUCUAUGUUAACACUAAGGAUGCCCUGGAGGAGGUCCUGACCACAUACAUGCGGCCAUUGGUUGAUUUCAGCUUUGCAAGCAGCGUAGUGAGAAAACCAAAAGCUUGUCCUAUCCAGACUGAGCUUGCCAGGGAAGCAGAGGCCUGAGGUUACUUAACGAGAGGCAGGCUGCCAGAGUGGAGACACAGGGCAUGUACAAUCAUACAAACCUGCAUACCAAUUCUGCCCCCCCACUCACUCUGUGGCUGUGUCACCCUGGCAAGUGACUUAACCUCUCUGAUCUUCUUUUCCUCACCUAUAAAAUGGGGAAAAUGAAAUGUAUCUCAGAUUGGGGAUUCGAAGGUUUCAAAUGACCAUUUAGGUAAACUUCCUGGAACAUAGUAUGUGUUCAGGAACCUUGAGUUCCCUCCCCUUGGGAGAAGACCCCUCACACUGAGCUGGGGAGCAGGAUCCUGGUCACUGAGACUUCUUUUCUGCACAAACUUCAUCUUGGCCUCUAAUGAGAUGGAAUCCCCCAGGGCCUGUUGCCUCCUGUUAUUGCAAUUUAAGCACAGCCAGUGCUGACUGGGCUGUUAGACUCCAAAGGUUCCCUGGUAGAAAAUUUGAGGGGUGUGGGAUGGCAAGGGAUUGAGAGAGAGGGGUGGGGACUUCAGAUAGCCAGUAUUCCUUAGCCUUCCAAUUCCUUAACAGCCAAAUUACCCUAGAGCCUCUUUAUGAAGCUAAAGAAAUACAAAUACUAUUUUCAAAUCAGCAGGCAUUCCCAAUGUUGGCUUUUGCUGAGGGUAGCUAAGAGGCAAAGCAUACCUAGAUCCUAGGCCAGACCUCAACAGCCUUAGUUCUGGCUCCUUCUGUUUCCAUAUUUCUCAAGAACCUGGUUUUCUCUGCUGGAAGAAGCAUUUUCAGAGGUCAUCUGAAGUCUACAGCCCUCCCCUCUGCGAGGAGAGCACAGACUUGAAGUCAAGUGGGCCUGGGCUCCAAAUCUUAGUUCUGCCACUUACUAGCUAUGUGGCCUUGGACAAGUUACUUAACUCCCCCAUGCCUCAGUUUCUCUGGAUACCAAAUGGGGAUAAUGAUGCUAAUACCUCAUAGAGUAGGCAUGAGGGUUAUAUGAGUAAAGUGCUGAGAAAGGAGCCUGAUAGGUAAUUACCUGAUCCCCCUCCUCUCGCUAGAGCCCCCACACCCUGGUGAUACUCACCACUAUGCCUUCACUUUAUAAUCAACAGAAACACUUCAACACCCAUCCCAGAAAACACAUGAAAUACUCACAUUACACAAAGAUCAAAUGAGUGGGGAUGAUUAAACCUAUUUUCCUUUUGAUUCAAACAAGUGGAGUGCUCUGUCCUUGGCCACACAGUUUAAAGAAUGAAGCCAGGACUACAUGCCAAACAGCAUGACUCCUAGGGUAAAGUUCUUCCCACCCCAUGAAGAUGCCCUCACCCCUCAAUUUCUCCUGACUGUUUCUUUAAAUAGAAAGGUUUUGAUGGAAACACUAGUGACGUAUAUGAAUUUUGAAGCAGAUAUCCAUUUUUAAUAUAGGAAGGAAGACAUUAAGAUGUCAAACUUGGGGCUGCUAAAUGAACAUCUGUAGCCCAAACAUGGGGCACCAGGGCUGGGAGGCUCAGAGAAGUAAUUGCCACAAAAAAGAUGCACCAGGACAUUGAUUUCUUCUGCCUGUUUGCUUGAUUUCCACUUUGAGCUUACUCAAUUGGCUAUUCCUCUGUUUUGCCACCUCAAGAACAUGACCCCAGCUCAUUUGAAUGAAAAUAUGUUUGCCAUUACCUCAUUAAUUUCUGAGACUUUGCAUUAUUUUUUACACCCACCUCCUUUCUUUUCUUCUCCCUCAAAAUUCAGAGUAUUGGUUGGAAAGAGGUAAAUCAGGCACCAUUUCUCCAUGAUGUGUCAGGACCUGAAUCUGUCAUUUGCGAGCCUGACCUCAUAACUCAGCCAAGCCAAGCUGCAAGGCACCCUGGGAACCCAUCACUGAAAGACUGCAGAGGGAGGAAGGCAAGGGCAGGAAUAGCCAGCUGGUCAAGCAGCAGAGUGUCUCCUCAGCUCCCAGGAAAUGGUGUCUAAGGGUGAUGAUGAACUGGGACUUCAUCUGAGUCCAAAAUAAUGAUGCUGCUGAUGCAACAGCAGAACUUAUUAAACACUUACUACUGCAUAUGCCACUAUGAGGUAGACUUACAGAGAAUAAGUUACUCUCCCAUAAUCACACAGCCAGUAAAUGACAGAAAUGGGAUCCAAUCCAAAUAUGUUUCAUUCUAAAGCCCAUGCUCUUCACCAACAAAGCCCAACUUGAUUUAAUUUAUCCCCAAACAUACCAACAUCCAUUUGUUAGUUCCCUUCCCAAUUUAACUUUAAGCGUCUCACAUACAUACACUGUUUUUAUCCUAACAACAAGUUGGUGAGGAACUGAGCUCAGAGAGGUUAAUCCACCCACUGAAAGGCACCCAGUGUUUAAGAGCAGAGGGAGGGGCCUGACACAGGUCUUUCGGAGCAUGACAUGCAUGUUCUGUCCACAAGGCCUGUUGCUGCCUUUCCCCCAGAGGUCCAGACUGAGGACGGGACAGAGUAGAUAAAGACAGCAGUGUGAGAGGAGGCAGUGGGCAAUAUGGGGAAUCUAGGGGCAGCAGUAUGCUGGUCCCAUAUAAUCAGGCCCGGGGGAGGGGCCCAGACAGAGGGUGGCAGACUCUCUGUACUCCAGCAAGACAAUCCCAGAAGAAAUGCCAGAGAGAUCAAUGAGAAGGCCAGUCAUUUACACUGGGCACACACACAGUGUUUAGGGUACUCAGAUAGGUACCCAGGCCUCACCCCAGGCUGUUUGGACACCAGGAGUCAUAGCACUCUUCCAGGCCACAACUGCUACUUGGGGUGGGAGGAGAGGAUGAGACGUGGCAUUUGUGGAAUAAUGACUGUGGCCAAGCAGUGGGCUCUGUAUGAUGCCAUCGUCAAUUCUCACAGCAAUUCUACAACAUAGGUUUUGUUACUUCUCUCUCACGCUUUACCCUAAAUUUCUCCUGCCUACCACAGUGCUUGGCACACACAAACAGAAUAAUAAUGUGUGGAACUGACUAAUUCAUUUUCCAUUCUGCUGGUCAGGGAGAAAUUAAUAGAGGCAGAGGCUAUUAAUAAAACAUUACAUUACCUCCAAUGAGUGUGGAAUAAUUCUCUAAAAUACUGACAAUCAG
rnacentral:lncRNA from 1 species